rnacentral:rRNA from 1 species
UACGGUAGGGUGCAAGCGUUGUCCGGAAUUAUUGGGCGUAAAGAGCUCGUAGGCGGCUUGUCGCGUCGGAACGUGAAAUCCCCAGGCUCAACCGGGGAACUGCGUCUGAUACUGGAUGGCGUUGAGGUUGGGAGAGGGAUGCGGAAUUCCAGGUGUAGCGGUGAAAUGCGUAGAGUAUCUGGAGGAACACCGGUGGCGAAGGCGGCGAUCCUGGACCAAUUCGUGACGCUGAGGAGCGAAAGCCAGGGGAGCAAAGCGGG